rnacentral:rRNA from 1 species
AGCGAACGUUUGCGGCGGGCUUAACACAUGCAAGUCGAACGAGCUGUUCCUUCGGGGGCAGUCAGUGGCGCACGGGUGCGUAACACGUAGGUAAUCAACCCUCUGGUUGGGGAUAACACUUCGAAAGGAGUGCUAAUACCCGGUAUGGCGCAGCGGUCUUCGGAUCGCGGCGAGAAAGACCCGCAAGGGUUGCCAGAGGACGAGCCUGCGGCCCAUCAGCUAGUUGGCGAGGUAACGGCUCACCAAGGCGAAGACGGGUAGCUGGUCUGAGAGGAUGAUCAGCCACACUGGAACUGAGACACGGUCCAGACUCCUACGGGAGGCAGCAGUGGGGAAUAUUGCGCAAUGGGCGAAAGCCUGACGCAGCCACGCCGCGUGAGCGAUGAAGGCC